rnacentral:tRNA from 1 species
AUCAGGGUUUAAUUUAAUAUUGUUUUCGUUUACGUUGAAAAAUUUUUUUGUGUAAUUCAAAAAGCCUUGAUU